rnacentral:rRNA from 1 species
AUGCCGCUCUUUUCCCUGAACACCCAUGAGAGCGACGCCAUGCUGCGAGGGGAGCAAGUCGAGGUGCCUAUGCGGGCUGCAAAAAUGGAGGGCGUCGCCGACUCGGAUGUUUUGUCCUGCUCAAGCACGUCAUUAAUGGGUGUUGGACAUGGACUCCACAUGGAACGCUCUCUUUGCCACAUCAAAGAUGGCCUCAAGCCCCUAUACAGAAGUAUACAAUCUUGCCGUUCUACAAUUUUCUCUGGAACAACGAUGUACAACUUCGACGGAACAGGACCACCAGUGCUCCACCUGAGAUUGUAA